rnacentral:tRNA from 1 species
CAGAGUAUAGCUUAUAUAAAGCUAAUUAUUUACAUUAAUAGGAAAAUUAAAAUCAAUUUACUUUGA